UGUGUAUUGGUAUUGUGUCUGCAUGUAUUUCUACACCAUAUGCCUACAGGGACCAUGGAGACAAGAAGAGGGUGUCUGAGUCCCUGUGAGUGGAGUUUCAAAGAGUUGUAAGUCACCAUGUGGGUACAGUGAUUUAAAUCCAGUCAUCCCGGCAGCCAGUUCUCUUAGUCACCUCUCCAGCCUGUGAUUUUUAUUUGGGUACUGGAUCAAUGCAUGAGGUGAGAAGAAAUCCAACAGCCUCCUGGGAAAGCAGGUCCAUGUGGAUUCACCUCAGCAGGAAGUUAAGGUCUUAAGAGGCCUAUUGCUCAACCAGGGCUGAAUGUUAAAUUCUAAACUCAGAGAUAACCCUCUGGUCACAAAUCAUUGACAUUGGGCCACAUUCCCUAGCUGCAGAGCUCUGUGAUCUGUGACUGCAAUAUGACAUUAAGAACAAUAAGUCCAUGAACAGAUGCUCUGGUGAUGAGCCCAGGCCUGCAACUUUGCAGCUGUUUAAUUUAGGACAAGUCACUUCCUCCUGAUCUAGUUUCUUCUUCUAGAGUGGCAUAACUCUACUUCACAUACAGAUGAGGAAACUUGGUGAGUGACAGGCUCAUGUUCUAUCUCUUCACUGCACCCUGCUGUAUUGUUUUAUGAGUGGGCUAUGAAGAUCUCACUUACUUAUCCAUUGUCAUCAAGCAGCCAUUGAGAUAAUGACUAUGUGAUGAAGCACACACUGCAUUCCGUGUCGAGGAUACAAAGGUAAAUGAAUCACUGUUUCUGCUCUUGUGGGACUCUGCCAAAGAUGAAGAAACAGAUUUUGCUUUUGUUGUGUAUUGGAAUUGUUCCCCCACCCCCACCCCUAUGCCUUAAGAGUGUAUUUGUUAUCUGGCCUGUGCCAAGUAGGCCCUACAUGAAAUUAGCUGAGACAGAGCCUUUGCUCUUUGCGUGUUUACACAUCUUGACAGACAUAAUAGACCUACGGAGAUGACUAAUUAACCAUAUGGGUGAUGACAAAUGUUCUCAUUAACUCCAACAACCCACUAAUUCAGGAAUCUCAAAAUAUGAAGAAUAACAUCAAUCUGAUAAGU